rnacentral:misc_RNA from 1 species
UCCGGCUUGUCGCCGGCGGUCCCUCUAGAGUGCCCAACUGAAUGAUGGCAACUAAAGGCGAGGGUUGCGCUCGUUGCGGGACUUAACCCAACAUCUCACGACACGAGCUGACGACAGCCAUGCAGCACCUGUCUCUGAGUCCCUUGCGGGAAAACUCCUGUUAAGGAGCGGUCUCAGGAUGUCAAACCCUGGUAAGGUUCUGCGCGUUGCGUCGAAUUAAACCACAUGCUCCAACAGCCAUGCACCACCUGUGAACGCCCCCGAAGGACACCACAUCUCUGUGGCUUUAGCG